rnacentral:rRNA from 1 species
GACGAACGCUGGCGGCGUGCUUAACACAUGCAAGUCGAACGGCAGCACGGACUUCGGUCUGGUGGCGAGUGGCGAACGGGUGAGUAAUGUAUCGGAACGUGCCCAGUCGUGGGGGAUAACGUAGCGAAAGCUACGCUAAUACCGCAUACGAUCUACGGAUGAAAGCGGGGGAUCGCAAGACCUCGCGCGAUUGGAGCGGCCGAUAUCAGAUUAGGUAGUUGGUGAGGUAAAGGCCCACCAAGCCGACGAUCUGUAGCUGGUCUGAGAGGACGACCAGCCACACAGGGACUGAGACACGGCCCAGACUCCUACGGGAGGCAGCAGUGGGGAAUUUUGGACAAUGGACGCAAGUCUGAUCCAGCCAUACCGCGUGCAGGACGAAGGCCUUCGGGUUGUAAACUGCUUUUGUACAGAACGAAAAGGUCUCUAUUAAUACUAGGGGCUCAUGACGGUACUGUAAGAAUAAGCACCGGCUAACUACGUGCCAGCCGCCGCGGUAA